CACGGAAGCGAAAAUAAAGAGUUACCUGAUUUUGUAGUUUUGAAACUAAUAUAACUAUAACUUAGUUCAGAUAUUUAUCAACACAGCUGAUACCAGUAUUAUUGUAUUCAAGUGUCUUCAUCCUUCAUUCUAAGUGCAACAAAAAUGGGUCAGACAAUGGAUAAAAGUACUGAAAUAACUGAUGGAGGUAAAUAACUUUUAUUGAUUUUAAUUAUCUACCGAAACCGAACAUCAAUAGACCAAUGAGUUGCUGUAAAUUGUUUUAAUUUGUCGAUUCAAAUGUUCAAGGUGCCUACAUGUAUCUAGUAAAAUGGGCCACACGGAUAAAGACAUUAUUUAAAAUGCGAUUUGUUUUUCAAAAAAAGAGGGUCAUUAUGUUUUUUUGUUCACAUGAAUUGUUUUAUUUUGUCAAUUCGAGGUUUACCAACAAUGGGUCAGGCAAUGUGUAAAAGUACUGAUAGAGGUAAAUUACUUUUUCUAUUGAUUUUUAUUAUCUACCGAACCGAACAUCGGUAGAUCAAUGAGAAGCUGUAAAUUGUUUUGUCGAUUCAAAUGUUCAAGGUGACUAAAUGUAUCUAGUGAAAUGGACCACACGGAAAAGGACAUAAUCUAAAUCGUGAUUUGUUUUUAAAGAGGAUAGGGUUAUUAUGUUUGUUUGUUCGCAUCAAUUGUUCUACAUUGAUUUCAUGUUCAGAAUCACAUUAAAUAAUUUAUCUUAAAAUGGAUCAUGAUAUCUGGGUAUUUCCAGACUUGCAAUACAACUGUAUUGAGUCUCUGAUAUUUCCUGGUGAAUAUUGCGGUGGAAUAUUUUAGAAAACAUGCGGAUCUGUGUAACAAACACAUUAAACAGUUCUAUAUUUUCCGGACCAGAUGCGCAUUAAAACAAUUAGUGAUGGUCAAAGCUAAAUAUGUUACAUCCUUAUUAGUCAAUGACUUUCUGUUUUAUAUAAAGUUUCGAAAUUAAACACCUAAUACCAGGCACUCUAUUAGAAAAAGGUUUGAAUACAAUAUGAAAUACUCCAUCAUAAUGACAUUUAACAAUUUAUUUGUUAUAAACCUUGUUAACCUUGUUAUCAAACCAUAUUGAUAUUGUUCAGAUAUUUUUUAAUGAAUAACUAAAAUGAUUUUAGUUUCAGUACUAGCAUGCCACUUUGAUACAAACCAAGACCAUAGUAAAUCAUUCGAAUACACUGCUGUUCAAACUACAGACCAUUACCGUCGUGGACAACCAUAUAAAUUGUUUGAAACACCAGGCGUGAGUUCAGCUAUCCUCACACUAAAGAUACCAAGUAACUGUCGGGUCCUUAAAUUGGAUAUGACAUUAAAUCAUUGUAAAACAAGCGGCAAUGGAAUAAUUGAUAUUAUGAUUAAUGGCAGAAUCUUCCGUGACGGAUAUAGCGAGGCAGAUCGGGAUAACUUUGCUGAACAGACGUUUGAUAUUCCAGUGCACCUUUUGAAGAAUGAAAAUAAUACAAUAACUAUUGUACUAAACGACGAAAGUAAAGGGGUGUACUGGCUAUCAGAUAUAAAAUUUGAACUGAAACAUACUCUAAUUGUAUAGUUUUAUUGUUGAUAUUCACCCCAAUUUAUAUCUUGUGUUAAAUUAUGUAUUUAAAUGACAGAACUUUCUUGGUAUUUCUAAUUAUUGGAAGAAUUUUAUACAUAUAAGUAGUAUACCUAAAACGACUAUUUUUCUUUUAACUGUAGAUAUUAUUAAAACCGUUUUUUUCAAAAGUGAUUAUUUUCGAAGGGUUAUAUAUUUCGCGGUGGUUUCUUGCCAUGGCUUUGUUGGGACUUUUUUGUUUGCUCUUGGCCUUGAAUGUUUGUCCCUAAUGUUUUAUUAACUGUGCAUUUGCAUUCACGUAUCGCAGAUUAAAUUUAUUCGUUCAUAAUGUGUUAAUUCACGUUUUUUGAUUGAGUUGAUCCUUCCAAUUGAUAUUUUAUCGUGUGGUUUUCUAUGUUGUGAUGUUAUGCUAUUGUUUCAGAAAAAGGGAGAAGGUUUUGGUACCAUUAAAACGUUUAAUCCCGUUGCAAAUGUUUGCACCUGUCCUAAGUCAGGAAUCUGAUGUACAGUAGUUGUCGUUUGUUUAUGUAAUUUAUACGUGUUUCUCGUUUCUCGUUUUUUUUAUAUAGAUAAGACCGUUUGAAUGGUUCUACACUAGUAAUUUUGGGGCCCUUUGUAGCUUUUUGUUCGGUGUGAGCCAAUGCUCCGUGUUGAAGGCCGUACAUUGACCUAUAAUGGUUUACUUUUAUAAAUUGUUAUUUGGAUGGAGAGUUGUCUCAUUGGCACUCACACCACAUCUUCCUAUAUCUAUCAGACAUAAAUUUCAACUUCCAGUCUGAUAUCAUAUUGAAACUUAUGUAUUCAGUGUCAGUUUACAGACCACGAUCUAUUAUGAGUCAGGUGGAAGUAUGAUUUAUUAUAAAUUCAUACCGAAAUUGAGUUCCUUGUUUCAUCUCAAUUAUAAUGUUAGGUAUUUUUAAACAUGGAUUUUAAACAUCAACCCCUGGACUGUACAUACUUUAGACUUUGAACAGACACAUACAU
rnacentral:lncRNA from 1 species